rnacentral:rRNA from 1 species
ACUCUAAGCGGUGGAUCACUCGGCUCAUGGGUCGAUGAAGAACGCAGCAAACUGUGCGUCAUCGUGUGAACUGCAGGACACAUGAACAUCGACAUUUUGAACGCAUAUCGCAGUCCAUGCUGUUAUGUACUUUAAUUAAUUUUAUAGUGCUGCUUGGACUACAUAUGGUUGAGGGUUGUAAGACUAUGCUAAUUAAGUUGCUUAUAAAUUUUUAUAAGCAUAUGGUAUAUUAUUGGAUAAAUAUAAUAAUUUUUAUUCAUAAUAUUAAAAAAUAAAUGAAAAACAUUAUCUCACAUUUGAAUGUGAAAAACGAAGAGAAAUAUUUUCUUUUUCAAUCAAAUAAUACUGAGAAAUGUCUAGCAUAAAAAAUUGAAAUAUUUUUCAUCUAGAAUUGUCUCUUAUUAAUGAUUCGGAAAUAGAAAAAUCUUGGUUAUGUUAUUAUUCUUCGUUGGUUCGUUAAAAAUGGAUAAAUAAAAACUUUGCAUACAAGAAUUAAUAAAAAUGUUAUAACGAAUUUAAUUAAAUGUUUUAUCAUUAUAUAUAAAGAAUUUAUGGCAAGAUAAAGUUAUAUACAACCUCAACUCAUAUGGGACUACCCCCUGAAUUUAAGCAUAUUAAUUAGGGGAGGAAAAGAAACUAACAAGGAUUUUCUUAGUAGCGGCGAGCGAAAAGAAAACAGUUCAGCACUAAGUCACUUUGUCUAUAUGGCAAAUGUGAGAUGCAGUGUAUGGAGCGUCAAUAUUCUAGUAUGAGAAAUUAACGAUUUAAGUCCUUCUUAAAUGAGGCCAUUUACCCAUAGAGGGUGCCAGGCCCGUAUAACGUUAAUGAUUACUAGAUGAUGUUUCCAAAGAGUCGUGUUGCUUGAUAGUGCAGCACUAAGUGGGUGGUAAACUCCAUCUAAAACUAAAUAUAACCAUGAGACCGAUAGUAAACAAGUACCGUGAGGGAAAGUUGAAAAGAACUCUGAAUAGAGAGUUAAACAGUACGUGAAACUGCUUAGAGGUUAAGCCCGAUGAACCUGAAUAUCCGUUAUGGAAAAUUCAUCAUUAAAAUUGUAAUAUUUAAAUAAUAUUAUGAGAAUAGUGUGCAUUUUUUCCAUAUAAGGACAUUGUAAUCUAUUAGCAUAUACCAAAUUUAUCAUAAAAUAUAACUUAUAGUUUAUUCCAAUUAAAUUGCUUGCAUUUUAACACAGAAUAAAUGUUAUUAAUUUGAUAAAGUGCUGAUAGAUUUAUAUGAUUACAGUGCGUUAAUUUUUCGGAAUUAUAUAAUGGCAUAAUUAUCAUUGAUUUUUGUGUUUAUUAUAUGCACUUGUAUGAUUAACAAUGCGAAAGAUUCAGGAUACCUUCGGGACCCGUCUUGAAACACGGACCAAGGAGUCUAACAUAUGUGCAAGUUAUUGGGAUAUAAACCUAAUAGCGUAAUUAACUUGACUAAUAAUGGGAUUAGUUUUUUAGCUAUUUAUAGCUAAUUAACACAAUCCCGGGGCGUUCUAUAUAGUUAUGUAUAAUGUAUAUUUAUAUUAUUUAUGCCUCUAACUGGAACGUACCUUGAGCAUAUAUGCUGUGACCCGAAAGAUGGUGAACUAUACUUGAUCAGGUUGAAGUCAGGGGAAACCCUGAUGGAAGACCGAAACAGUUCUGACGUGCAAAUCGAUUGUCAGAAUUGAGUAUAGGGGCGAAAGACCAAUCGAACCAUCUAGUAGCUGGUUCCUUCCGAAGUUUCCCUCAGGAUAGCUGGUGCAUUUUAAUAUUAUAUAAAAUAAUCUUAUCUGGUAAAGCGAAUGAUUAGAGGCCUUAGGGUCGAAACGAUCUUAACCUAUUCUCAAACUUUAAAUGGGUAAGAACCUUAACUUUCUUGAUAUGAAGUUCAAGGUUAUGAUAUAAUGUGCCCAGUGGGCCACUUUUGGUAAGCAGAACUGGCGCUGUGGGAUGAACCAAACGUAAUGUUACGGUGCCCAAAUUAACAACUCAUGCAGAUACCAUGAAAGGCGUUGGUUGCUUAAAACAGCAGGACGGUGAUCAUGGAAGUCGAAAUCCGCUAAGGAGUGUGUAACAACUCACCUGCCGAAGCAACUAGCCCUUAAAAUGGAUGGCGCUUAAGUUGUAUACCUAUACAUUACCGCUAAAGUAGAUGAUUUAUAUUACUUGUGAUAUAAAUUUUGAAACUUUAGUGAGUAGGAAGGUACAAUGGUAUGCGUAGAAGUGUUUGGCGUAAGCCUGCAUGGAGCUGCCAUUGGUACAGAUCUUGGUGGUAGUAGCAAAUAAUCGAAUGAGACCUUGGAGGACUGAAGUGGAGAAGGGUUUCGUGUGAACAGUGGUUGAUCACGAGUUAGUCGGUCCUAAGUUCAAGGCGAAAGCCGAAAAUUUUCAAGUAAAACAAAAAUGCCUAACUAUAUAAACAAAGCGAAUUAUAAUACACUUGAAUAAUUUUGAACGAAAGGGAAUACGGUUCCAAUUCCGUAACCUGUUGAGUAUCCGUUUGUUAUUAAAUAUGGGCCUCGUGCUCAUCCUGGCAACAGGAACGACCAUAAAGAAGCCGUCGAGAGAUAUCGGAAGAGUUUUCUUUUCUGUUUUAUAGCCGUACUACCAUGGAAGUCUUUCGCAGAGAGAUAUGGUAGAUGGGCUAGAAGAGCAUGACAUAUACUGUUGUGUCGAUAUUUUCUCCUCGGACCUUGAAAAUUUAUGGUGGGGACACGCAAACUUCUCAACAGGCCGUACCAAUAUCCGCAGCUGGUCUCCAAGGUGAAGAGUCUCUAGUCGAUAGAAUAAUGUAGGUAAGGGAAGUCGGCAAAUUAGAUCCGUAACUUCGGGAUAAGGAUUGGCUCUGAAGAUUGAGAUAGUCGGGCUUGAUUGGGAAACAAUAACAUGGUUUAUGUGCUCGUUCUGGGUAAAUAGAGUUUCUAGCAUUUAUGUUAGUUACUUGUUCCCCGGAUAGUUUAGUUACGUAGCCAAUUGUGGAACUUUCUUGCUAAAAUUUUUAAGAAUACUAUUUGGGU